UACGAAGGGGGCUAGCGUUGUUCGGAAUUACUGGGCGGAAAGCGCGCGCAGGCGGUUCUUCAAGUCAGAGGUGAAAGCCCAGAGCUCAACUCUGGAAUGGCCUUUGAGACUAGAGAACUAGGGUACGGGAGAGGUGAGUGGAAUUCCGAGUGUAGAGGUGAAAUUCGUAGAUAUUCGGAAGAACACCAGUGGCGAAGGCGGCUCACUGGCCCGUUACCGACACUCAGGCGCGACAGCGUGGGGAGCAAACAGG
rnacentral:rRNA from 1 species